rnacentral:rRNA from 1 species
AAGCAUAUCAAUAAGCGGAGGAAAAGAAACCAACAGGGAUUGCCCUAGUAACGGCGAGUGAAGCGGCAACAGCUCAAAUUUGAAAUCUGGCGCAAGCCCGAGUUGUAAUUUGUAGAGGAUGCUUCUGGGUAGCGACCGAUCUAAGUUCCUUGGAACAGGACGUCAUAGAGGGUGAGAAUCCCGUAUGUGACCGGCCCGCACCCUUUACGUAGCUCCUUCGACGAGUCGAGUUGUUUGGGAAUGCAGCUCUAAAUGGGAGGUAAAUUUCUUCUAAAGCUAAAUACCGGCCAGAGACCGAUAGCGCACAAGUAGAGUGAUCGAAAGAUGAAAAGUACUUUGGAAAGAGAGUUAAAAAGCACGUGAAAUUGUUGAAAGGGAAGCGCCUGCAACCAGACUUCGCGGCAGUGUUCCGCCGGUCUUCUGACCGGUUCAUUCUCUGUCGCGAGGCCAUCAUCGUCUGGGCCCGCCGGAUAAGACCUUAGGAAUGUAGCUCACCUUCGGGGGAGUGUUAUAGCCUAGGGUGAUGCGGCGAGGCUCGGGCGAGGUCCGCGCUUCGGCAAGGAUGAUGGCGUAAUGGUUGUCGGCGGCCCGUCUUGAAACACGGACCAAGGAGUCUAACAUCUAUGCGAGUGUUCGGGUGUCAAACCCCUACGCGUAAUGAAAGUGAACGGAGGUGGGAACCGCAAGGUGCACCAUCGACCGAUCCUGAUGUCCUCGGAUGGAUUUGAGUAAGAGCAUAGCUGUUGGGACCCGAAAGAUGGUGAACUAUGCCUGAAUAGGGUGAAGCCAGAGGAAACUCUGGUGGAGGCUCGCAGCGGUUCUGACGUGCAAAUCGAUCGUCAAAUUUGGGUAUAGGGGCGAAAGACUAAUCGAACCAUCUAGUAGCUGGUUCCUGCCGAAG